rnacentral:rRNA from 1 species
GACGAACGCUGGCGGCGUGCUUAACACAUGCCAGUCGAACGGUGAACGAGGGAGCUUGCUCCCUCCGGAUCAGUGGCGAACGGGUGAGUAACACGUGAGCAAUCUGCCCCGAACUCUGGGAUAAGCGUUGGAAACGACGUCUAAUACCGGAUACGACGCGGGAGGGCAUCCUCUCCGCGUGGAAAGAACUUCGGUUCGGGAUGAGCUCGCGGCCUAUCAGCUUGUUGGUGAGGUAACGGCUCACCAAGGCGACGACGGGUAGCCGGCCUGAGAGGGUGACCGGCCACACUGGGACUGAGACACGGCCCAGACUCCUACGGGAGGCAGCAGUGGGGAAUAUUGCACAAUGGGCGCAAGCCUGAUGCAGCAACGCCGCGUGAGGGACGACGGCCCUCGGGUUGUAAACCUCUUUUAGCAGGGAAGAAGCGAAAGUGACGGUACCUGCAGAAAAAGCACCGGCUAACUACGUG